CAUACAGCUCAUCCUUCGCAGUACCGACAGUCAGAACACUGCAAAACGACCGCUGAGCAGCUUCUAUUUAUUUUUUACUUUUUUAAAAAAUAUUUUUGAAUCAUACGCCAAAUUUAAUUUAAAGAAAAUGUUUUUAAUAAUUUAAGAAAAUAUAACAAUUUAUUUAAAAGUUCUUUACCAUGUUCUUAUAGUGUAAACAAGGAUAAUUUCACCAAACUGUUGAAAAGGACGUGAGUAAGGACAAAUCAAAGAAAAUACCCUAGCGUCAAACAUCGUGCACAACUGUCUUUCAAUUGCUAGCAGCUUGAUACGCAGACAAGAGUGAGGUAGUUGGUUGUAUAGUACCAUAUAAUCAAUUUGGAACGUACUAUACAAUCGGCUAACUUUUCUUCUGUCAUGUUAAUACAACUUCUUGAAUGGCUGCAGUUCAAUAAUUUACUUUAGUCUAAGAACCUUGUUCAAUAUUAUCUAUAGUCUUUAUGCAACAUAACACAAUUAUAGAAAUAGUCCACAAAAUAUUGAAAACUCUCAGAAGUGGAACCGGAUUAUAUCAAAUCAUCAAAAAAAAAUUAAAAGAAAAGCGUGUUAAAUGAAUUAAAAGAAAAAUUUUGAAAAUACUUCAUCUAAUUUUUAGCUGAGAUAUAUAUAU